GUUCGGUGGGUGUGGUUGCCCCUAGUUUGAGGCCUGCCCGAUUACCCGCAAGACUUGGGCAGCCCCGGGCGCCGCUCCGACCACGACAGGGAAAGGUAAAGCGAACUGUGCUCCUUGGGGCUAGCCAGGCUCCCCUGCGAGGAGGAAGGUAAUGGUUUCAAGCUGCCCGGGCUGGGUUCCGAAUCUCUAGGACGCCAUGGCUGCGAUCUCCUCGCUUUCCUGGACGUCUUACCUCCGGAUGUACUCCAGUCUCAGUGCCCCUCAAUAAACGUUAACCUGCUUUGCCAAAAUGUAAAUGUUUAAAAAGGAACUGACCAACACUGGAUGAAUUUGACCAUUUCUUAGGAGACUGGAAUGUUAAGUUUCUAUAAAUGAAUGAACCAGUUCUCUCUUGUUUGGAGCAAUGCUGAAAUUCCAAGAGGCAGCUAAGUGUGUGAGUGGAUCAACAGCCAUUUCCACUUAUCCAAAGACCUUGAUUGCAAGAAGAUACGUGCUUCAACAAAAACUU
rnacentral:sRNA from 1 species